CAAUAGCGUAUAUUAAAGUUGUUGCGGUAAAAAAGCUCGUAGUUGGAUUUCUGUUGAGGACGACCGGUCCAUACCACGUAUGCGCAUCUGGCUCGGCCUCGGCAUCCUCUCGCGAAACGUUUCUGCGCUUGAUUGCGUGGAGCGGGUCUCGGGACUUUUACUUUGAGGAAAUUAGAGUGUUCACGGCAGGCUAUCGCCCGAAUACAUUAGCAUGGAAUAAUACUAUAGGAUUUCGCACCUAUUUUGUUGGUUUCUAGGCGUGAAAUAAUGAUUAAUAGGGACAAUUGGGGGCAUUCGUAUCAACACGUCAGAGGUGGAAUUCUUGGAUUGUGUUGCGACGAACUACUGCGAAAGAUUAGUUCACGAAGUAGUUUUCUUACUUGUAGUACUAAGAAACGGAAAACGUAAAAGGGGGUAAGGGUACGUAACGGAACGGAACGUUAAGUAAGUAACCUAACUACUUCGUAGG
rnacentral:rRNA from 1 species